UACAGAGGGUGCGAGCGUUAAUCGGAAUUACUGGGCGUAAAGCGCGCGUAGGCGGCUUUUCAAGCCGAUUGUGAAAUCCCCGGGCUUAACCUGGGAACUGCAGUCGGGACUGUCUAGCUAGAGUAUGGGAGAGGGAAGUGGAACUUCAGGUGUAGCGGUGAAAUGCGUAGAUAUCUGAAGGAACAUCAGUGGCGAAAGCGACUUCCUGGACCAAUACUGACGCUCAUGUGCGAAAGCGUGGGGAGCAAACAGGG
rnacentral:rRNA from 1 species